CUGCGUGAAGAAAUUGACAAGUAUGAAGGUGGUUUGGAUGAAUUUUCUCGUGGCUAUGAAAAGUUUGGUUUCUCACGCAGUGAAACAGGAAUAACUUAUAGGGAAUGGGCGCCUGGAGCUACGUGGGCUGCACUGAUUGGAGAUUUCAACAACUGGAAUCCUAAUGCAGAUGUCAUGACUCGGAAUGAAUUUGGUGUCUGGGAGAUCUUUUUGCC
rnacentral:misc_RNA from 1 species